rnacentral:rRNA from 1 species
UGCAAGUCGAGCGGUAGCACAGGGAGCUUGCUCCUGGGUGACAAGCGGCGGACGGGUGAGUAAUGUCUGGGAAACUGCCUGAUGGAGGGGGAUAACUACUGGAAACGGUAGCUAAUACCGCAUAAUGUCUACGGACCAAAGUGGGGGACCUUCGGGCCUCAUGCCAUCACAUGUGCCCACAUGGGAUUAUCUAUUAGGUGGGGUAAUGGGUCACCUAUGCGACAAUCCCUAUCUGGUCUGAGAGGAUGACCACCCACACUGGAACUGAGACACGGUCCACACUCCUACGGGAGGCAGCAGUGGGGAAUAUUGCGCAAUGGGCGCAAGCCUGAUGCACCCAUGCCGCGUGUGUGAAAAAAGCCUUCGGGUUGUAAAGCACUUUCUCCGAGGAGGAAGGGUUCUGUGUUAAUAUCACUGUGCAUUGACGUUACUCGCAGAAAAAACACCGGCUAACUCCGUGCCACCAGCCGCGGUAAUACGGAGGGUGCAAGCGUUAAUCGGAAUUACUGGGCGUAAAGCGCACGCAGGCGGUUUGUUAAGUCACAUGUGAAAUCCCCGCGCUUAACGUGGGAACUGCGUUUGAGACUGUGAAGCUAUAGUCUUGUAUAGGGGGGUAUAAUUCCACGUGUAUCGGUGAAAUGCGUAUAGAUCUGUAGGAGUACCGGUGGCGAAAGCGGCCCCCUGUACAAAGACUGACGCUCACGUGCGAAAGCGUGUGGAGCACACACGAUUAUAUACCCUGUGAGUUCCACGCUGUAAACGAUGUC